CGCGCGGGAGCAGCUCCAACUUUUUCAAUUUGCCGCCAUCUUUACGGCGGCCGACUUCCCAGCCUGCCUCGCGUCCAGGGAGGCGGAGCUCAGAUGAGGUCCGGGGAAUGAGGUGAUUCGCCCAAAAGCACACUACAAAUUGGAGUCACCAGCAGGUCUGCUAUUUUGCCACUAAACCAAUCUGCCGGUUCAUGCUUCAAGCAAAAGUCCACUGGCUAAUGAUCAGAUGGUGAUAACUGGGAAUAAAGACAAUAAAAUGAGAAAAGCAAAAAGGCUGUUAGCUUGCUAUAACAAGGGAGUCAGCCACCAUCAUUUGUAUUUGGAUGAGACUCAAUGUCAGGCAGAGGAGUGGGUCACACCUUGGCUGUAAAGUGUCCUAACAGCCACCUACUUAUGAUUACUGCUUUCUUACCAAUAACCUCCCCAGCCUGUUGUGUGGCUCCUACAUCUUGAACAAAAGCGACCAAGGCAUACAUCUGUAGGAGACCAGAAUAUGCCACCCCAAAAUAUGCCUCCUUGGCCUAAGGAUUAUUCUGAGCUAGUAAUUUUGAGAAACAGAAGCUAUGAAAACAGCAUAAGCUACCCCUUUGAAAGAGAAAUUCACCCCGGCCACCACCCCGUCUGGGAAGUGAGGAGCGUCUCUGCCCAGCCGCCCCGUCUGAGAAGUGAGGAGCCCCUCCGC
rnacentral:lncRNA from 1 species